AGGAUGAACGCUAGCGGCAGGCUUAACACAUGCAAGUCGAGGGGCAGCACGUCUUCGGAUGGUGGCGACCGGCGCACGGGUGAGUAACGCGUAUGCAAUCUACCUUUUACUGGGGCAUAGCCCGGGGGAAACCCGGAUUAAUAUCCCAUGGUACCAUGAUAUAGCAUUAUAUUUUGGUUAAAAGCUUCGGCGGUAAAAAGAUGAGCAUGCGUCCUAUUAGCUUGAUGGGUAAGGUAACGGCUUACCAUGGCUUUGAUAGGUAGGGGUCCUGAGAGGGACGACCCCCCACACUGGUACUGAGACACGGACCAGACUCCGUACGGGAGGCAGCAGUGAGGAAUAGUUGGACAAGUGGGCGAGAGCCUGAUCCAGCCAGUGCCGCGUGCGAAGGAACGCCGGCCCUAGUGGGUUAGUAAACUGUACUUUUAAGAACGGAAAGAACACCUCCCGUAGUGGAAGGUAUUAGACGGUAC
rnacentral:rRNA from 1 species